rnacentral:lncRNA from 1 species
GCCCAUAUCCCUCAACCCUAAAAAUCCUACAUCUCCUCAUUCUUGAAAAAACUAGUGACACACACACUCAAAAAAAGAAGAACGAUCAGAGAUGGAAAUCGGCUGCCUCCCUCAAAGACUCAACUCCUCCCAAUUUCCAACAAUACCUCCUAGCUUCAAAGAGCUAAAAUUUUCCGCCUCCAACUCCAAAAAUCAUCCAUACUCUCCAACACCCAGCAGCCUAAACACACACACAUAUAUAGAAUGAGAUAAAAAAAAAGGGGAAACGACAAAGAGGGGGAGGGGAAUUGAACGAAAAAUCAGAGAGGAAAUCUUGAGAGAAAAGGUUUGAGAUAAGGUUCUUCUCAUUCUUCCAUCUUGAUUCUUUUUUGAUUGUUUUUCAGAAAAUACAGACCAAAAAAAAUUCUCCAUUUCUUGUCCUCAAAUUCAAAAAAAUAUAUUUCUUCUUUCAGUUUGGAUUUUGAUUUCCAUAUGGAGUUUGAUUGAAGACGUAUUCGAGUCGAAGUUCCUCCUCUAUUCUGAGUUCCCCGCCGUGAGUAGAUUUCCGUUUUGGUUCGCGAUUAUUGUUAGAUUUUGCUUCAGAUUGUAUUCAAAGGCUUAUUUUUGAAUAAAAGUUCAAGAGAAAUUGGCUGAAAUUUUGCUAUUCGCUGCUGAUUAUUUCUCAAAUGAACUCAAGGCAUUAGGUACAUACCCACUAAUUUGUCAUUUACCUUUUUUAAUCAAUGAUUUGAAUUGCUUGAAAGGUCGUGAAUCUAUUGCUUCUGCUGUUCCUUGGGUAUAUAUACACCUAAUAGGAUACUCAAUUGAUUUAAAUUUUACCCGUCAUGCUUAAACUAAUUGUGAUUUUGUGACUAGUCAUAAUUUGGGGAAGUGAAGGCUCAUCUGUGAGAAUAUUAAACUGUGUAUGUUCUUCAGUUGAUUCUGUGAGUGAUACUGGGUGUUUGAAGAACCUCGCUGUCAAAUUAUAAUCCAUGUAAUUCAUUAUUGUAAACCCCAAAGGCCUUGAGUAAAUAUGUUGUUUAAUAUAAUGUAUGAAUUGAGAUGUUAUUAACUAGGAACUAAUAUUCACACUGUUUCAUUCGAAUCCCUACCAUGUUUAACCAUGAAUGUGCUUAAGAGUUUUAUGGAUAAGUUUAUUAAUCUGAUGUCAUAUGUAGAAAUAGAAAAAAAAUUAUUUUCAUUUAUUAGAUCCAAAAAAGGAAAAUAACAAAUUGAAGUCUUGGAAUGAAAUGUGUGGUCUAGUUGUUAAAAGAUUUGGACCGGAAUAACCUUCAUUGCACCUUGGGCUUUUAGUUAAAUGCUGACAUUUUUUUGUGUAAUCUCAAACUUAGGAAAGAAAUAAAUCUUGAAUAAUCUCUAGUAUGCUUUAGGCGCGUAUUAAUAAAUAAAUUAUCGUGAUUAUAUACACGUGCGCGUGAUAUAGUUAUAAUUUUUAAACUUAAAACUAAGGUACACGUUCGCAUGACUUUGUCCAAAAAAUCUUAAUAAUUAAUAAAGCGUGAUAGAUUGUGUACACAUAUGCGUGACAUGAUUUUAGCUCCCCAAAUAAAAGGGAUUUACGCACAUGUAAUCCGUUUCAAAGAUUAAAUCCAUAAAUGCCAUAAUCUAAAAGCGGUAGAAGGUAAAAUUUACAUAGGUUCUAAAAUAAAAAAUAUUAAACAAUUUAAUUAAUCCAGGUAUGAUUAAAGAGACCGUGCUAAAACCACAGAACCCGAGAAUGCAUAUCUCCUUCUCCCGGAUUAACAAAAUUUCUUACCUGGUCUUCUGGUUUCGAAGACUUUAGAGCAGAUUCAAACUUUCCCUGAUUUGGGAUUUAAAAUAAAUCGGUGACUUUGGAUACCAUAAAUUAUUCCAAGUGACGACUUUGAAUUAAAUAAAUUAUCCCAUUUCGAUUAAUGUCAAUUAGAGAAACUCCCCAUCCCUAUACCCUCGGGAAAAAAGAGGUGUGACAAUGAACGUUGUUGGAGCAUUUGUCAUCCCAAAAGACAUCACAAGGAACUCACAAUGGCCAUAACGGGUCCUAAACGCUGUCGUAAGAAUAUCCGGGUCCCGAAUCUUCAACUGGUGAUACCCAAACCUCAAAUCAAUCUUGGAGAACACCCUCGCUCCCUGAAGCUGGUCAAAUAGGUCAUCAAAGGAUACUUGUUCUUGAUUGUGACUUUGUUGAAUUACCUAUAAUCAAUAGACAUUCCCAUAAUACUAUCCUUCUUCUUCAUGAACAGAAUAGGUGCACCCCAAGGUGACACACUAGGCCUAAAAAACCCCUUCUCAAGGAGUUCCUAAAUCUACUCCCUCAACUCCUUCAACUCAAUCGGUGCCAUACGGUAUGGAGGAAUAGAAAUACGCUGAGUGCCUGGCACUAAGUCAAUACCAAAAUCAAUGUCCCUAUUGGGUGACACGCCUGACAGGUCUGCAAGAAAUAUAUCCGGAAACUCUUGCACCACCUGAACAGAAUCAAUAGUAGGGGUCUCAGCACUAACAUCCCUUACAAAGGCCAAAUAAGAUAAACAAUCCUUCCCAACCAUCCGCGGGGCCCUUCAAGUAUGAAAUCACUCUACUGGGAACAUAGUCUAAUGAACCAUGCCACUCAAUCCAUGGCAACCCUGACAUCACCAACAUCACAGUCUUAGCAUGACAAUCCAAAACAGCAUGACAUGGAGACAACCAAUCCAUACCCAAAAUCACGUCAAAAUCAACUAUACUAAGUAGCAAGAGAUCAACUCUAGUCUCCAAUCUCCUAAUAGUCACUACACACAACCGAUACACUCUGUCCACAAUAAUAGUAUCACCCAUUGGCGUGGAUAUACGAACAGAUAAAGCUAAAGACUCACGGGGCAUAUCCAGAUAAUAAGUAAAAAACGACGAUAGAUAUGAAUAGGUAGAACCAGGGUCAAGCAAUAAAGAAGCUUCUCGAUGACAUAAUGAGACAAUACUUGUGAUCACUAUGUUUGAAGCGAUAACAUCUGGUCUGGCAGGGAGUGCAUAGAAAUGGGCCUGGGCGCCACCUAAUCAGUCCCCUCUCUAGGGCGACCCCUAUGAUGUUAUGAGGAUAUAAAAUAGUUUCCUUUGGUUACAUUAUGAUAACAUGUACAUUUUAACCUUUUGUUACUUCUGGGUUUAAUAAUUUAGGAUAUAAACAUUUUUGAAUGUUUAAUACUUUGCUAUUAUCAUGAAGAAAUUUGGCGGUAUAAAUAAAAACCCUCAAUGUUUAAUUCUCAUAUUUGAGCCAUGUGAAUGAAGAAAUACCUAGUAGGAAGUGUUUCCUCCUAAAAUAGGCUAUACACGAUUCAAAUCUAGAUUAGUCGAACUAGUAACUUUUGAAUACCAAGUAAUUAAAAAAAGUACUUUGUUAUCAGUGUGGUCGUGACAGAUUUCUUGUUUGAUUUUUGCUUACGUGACGACCCGACCAGUCGUCUCAUAAGUUUCCGCUCCGUUUCCCCCAUUUCUACUUUUUUAUGCUUCGUUAUUCAUGUUUUAUGUGAGCGAGUUGGGUAGUUUGCGUUCAGAGUGGAUUUGGUAAGAAAUGAGACACUUAGUCUUUUUCAAGAAGGUUUAAGUUGGAAAAGUCAACCAGAUGUUGACUUAUGUAUUAGAGGGCUCAGAUGUGAGUUCCGAUAAUUUGGUUAGCUUCAAGAGGUGAUUUAUGACUUGGGAGUGUGAUCGGAAUUGGUUUUGGAGGUCCGGUGUAGAAUUAGGCUUGAAUUGGAGAAGUUAGUAUUUUGGCGAUCUCCGGUUGGUAGGUGAGAUUUUGAUCCAGGGGCCGGAAUAGAAUUUCGAAUGUUGCUGUAGCUUCAUUAUGUCAUUUGGGAGGUGUGUGCGAAAUUUUAGGUCAUUCAGACGUGGUUUGGUCGGGUUUUUGAUCGAAAACGUAUUUCGGGAGAUUUCUCAAAAAUUAGGCUUGAAUUUUGAUGAGUUUUGGGUAAUUUGAUGUUGUUUGAGGUGUUUUGAUGAUUGGAACAAGUUUGAAUAAGGUAUUGGGUCAUGUUGGUGCUUUUGGUUGAGAUCCCGGGGCCUCGAGGUGAAUUCGGAUGGUUAACGGGAAGAUUUUGGACUUAAGAGAUCUCAAAAGUUGUUGCUUCUAGUAUUUCAGAUCCAGCGGAUUGGGGACCGCAGGUGCGGUGCCGCACAUGUAGAAGAAGAGCCGCAGAAGCAGUUUGGGAAGAAUAGCCAAGGACCGUAGAUGCGUUACAAGGACCGCACCUACGGAGUCGCAGAUGCAGCUCGUGGACCGCAUAUGAGGAACCUGGCCUCCUAAGUGAUUUCUGUAGAUGCGCAGGAAUUACCGCAGAAGCGGUACCACAGGAGCGGUGGUGGGGUUGCAGAUGCGAAAAAGCCCUGAUUAGAAAGUUUAUAAGUUAUUUCAUCCGCGAUUUUGAGCCAUUUUUUCCUCCAUAGCUAAGUAUUUUGAGAGCUUUUUGAAGGUGAUUAAAGAGGGAUUCAAGGAGAAUUGAUUGGAGGUAAGACUUUCGAACAUAAAACUUGAAUCUAUUGUGAAAUUAACCUAGAGAUUCCUGGAACUUAAGCUAAAAAUGGAAGAAAUAGGGCUUGGGAUUUUGAGUUUUUUAUUUGGGGAUUUGGAGGACCAUUUGGGGUCGGAUUUGAGAACUUUCGAUAUGUAUGAACUCGUGGAAGGAUAAGGAACCUGUUGAUGUAAAAAUAUUAGAGUUUCGAGAAGUGGUCCUGAGGCUCGGGUUUUGCUAAUUUCGGGAUUAUUGAUAUUUUUCGAUUGUUUUUGCUUGGGCUUUGUUCCCUUAGCAUUUUGUGACGUAUUCGUUCUGAUUUUGGAUAGAUUCGAUGCGCGUGGAGGACGAUUCGAGGGUAAAAGGUGUCCCGAGCUAGAGUGGUAGCCGGUUCGAGGUGAGUAAUGAUCGUAAAUGAUGUCCUGAGGGUUUGAAACCCCAGAUUUGCAUAUCGUAGUGCUAUAUUUAGGUGAGACACGCACUGGAUGAUGAUCGUGGGGUCUUUUACUAUUGGGGAUUGAGACUUGGUCCGUCCCGAUUGAUGAUUUUACCACAUAUUUGAUUGAAACUUAUUUGUUAUCAUCAUGAUUUGGGCUAAUUGCCAUAUUUGGUCUUCUUGCCAACUAUUUGAACCCUUCGGGGAUUUUGACUGAUUUUCCUCACUCUACUUGUUAAAAAUCAUAUCCUCAGUCAUGUUUCUAUUUGUUUUAAACGAUUUGAGCUGGUUUUAUCAUACUAUUCCUAAAUGAGAGGAAUUUGUAGGCUGAGAUCCCUAUCUUCUAUUAUGGUGCCCGAGAGGCUGUGAGGUUAAUGACUGAGAGAGGUUGAGAACCCAAUGGUGAGGAUAUUAUAUAUGUUAUGGACCAGGAUGCACACCGCAGCUAUACAUAUAUUGGAUCGAGCUGCAUGUCGCAUCGAUAUAGCGCUUGGGCUGUUGGAGCCCCUCUAGAGUCUGCACACCCCCAGUGAGCGCAGUCGACUAUCUAUAUGGAUCGGGCUGCAUGCCGCAGUGGUUAUUCUGAUUUCUGUUAUUAUGAGAGAUAUAUGGGUCGAGAGCUGAUAUUGAGCACUAAGUGAUGAGAGUGAGUCCGAGGAGCUGACACUAUUCUGAGUGAUUGAUACUGUGCCCGAGGGGCGGAUUUCCACUUGUUAAUUGCCUACUAAAUUACAUGUUUUACCAGAUUUAAAGAGACUUUACUUGACUUCUUCACUGAUUUACUACUUUAUGUGAUUAUUACUGCUUUGAUAUAGAAUUGCUUUGUGCCUUUACGUGUUUUCUUGCUUUCAGCCAUUAUUUAUAUUUAUUAAUCACUGGGUCGGUGUACUAACAUUCUCCCUGCAUCGUGUGUACAGAUUCAGGCAUCGCAGAGUCUGUUCCUGAGUGUUGAUCUUCCUAGUUCAGACAGUGUUUUCGGAGACUACGAGGUAGCGGUUGGCGUCCGUAGCCCCCGUGCCUCCCUUAUCUUACUAUUUUCAUGUUCUUGAACUUCUGUAUCGGGGUUUAUAUCUAGUAGACUGGUAUCCGGAUUAAUUAGUUGCUCAUGACUUGUGACACCCCGAUUUGGGCUGUAUUAGGAUGGUUUCUAAUGUUGUUAUCAUUAUUUCCGCAUAUAUUUUAGAACUAUUUAUGGUAUUUAACUAUUUAAAUGAGGUGUUCUGUUUGGUUUGGCUGGCCUUGUCUUCACGAGAGGCGCCAUCACGAUCAAGUUUGGGGUUAGGGUCGUGACAAGUUGGUAUCAGAGCCUAGGUUACAUAGGUCUCACGAGUCAUGAGCAGGUUUAGUAGAGUCUCGCGGAUCGGUAUGGAGAUGUUUGUAUCUAUCCUCGAGAGGCUGCAGAACCUUUAGGAAAAACUUCAUAUUCUUGGAAUUCUUGUCGCGCGAACUUGUUGGUCCGAGUACUAAACUUCUGUUAUUCCAUUCUCUCACAGAUGUUGAGGACGCGAGCUACCGGACGAGGUGGACGACCACUAGUGCCACCAGUAGAGACCACCAGAGGCCAUAGAUGUGGUCGUGGCAGAGGCAGAGCAGUGAGGGCAGCACCUGUAGAUCCACCAGCUGCCCUAGCUCCGGAUCAAGCUCCAACUAUGGAUGCUCCAGCAGCACUGGUUCAGGCACCAGCUGUGCCCAUCGUGAUUUCGGGUCUUCAGGAGGCCUUGACACAGAUCCUAUCAGUUUGCACUACCCUAACUCAGGUAGUUUCAUCCACUAUAGCAGCAACUACUUCAUAGGCCCGGGGAGGCAAUCAGACCCCCGCUGCUCGCACCCCUGAGUAGGUAGUGCAGGGACUUUAGACGCCGGGGGAACCUCCAGCCCAACCGGUUGCACCAGCUCAGGAGUUUGUUAUGCUAGUUAUGCUGGAUGAUGAGCAACAUCGUCUUGAAAGGUUUGGUAGACUCCAGCCUUCGUCAUUCAGUGGUGCUGAGGGCGAGGAUACCCAAGGUUUUCUAGAUAAGUGACAGCGGAUGCUCCAUACAGCAGGGAUUAUUGAGUCUAGUGGUGUGGCAUUUACCAGCUUUCAGUUUUUUGGGGCUGCCUUCACUUGGUGGGAGGCGUAGGUCGGUUGGUGCAACACCCCUUUCUUGGCAGGAGUUCUCCACUCUCUUCUUGGAGAAGUAUGUACCACAGUCCCGCAAAGAUGAGCUGUGUAGGCAGUUUGAGUGGCUGAAGUAGGGGGAUAUGACUGUGUCACAGUAUGAGGUGAGGUAUUCUGAGUUGGCUCGCCAUGCCGUCUGGAUGGUUCCGAUAGACCGUGAGAGGAUCAUGAGAUUUGUUGAUGGCCUAAAUUACCAUAUCUGUAUUCUUAUGACUAGAGAGAGAGUAUUGGGUGCUGCGUUUGAGGAGGUGGUUGAUAUCGCGCUCGAGAUUGAGACGGUUCGCCGUCAGGAUCUAGAGGAGAGGGAGUCCAAGAGGCCUCGAGGAUCGGGCAGUUACAGUGGUGCUCCUUCGAGGGGCCAGUCCCAGCAUGGUAGAAGUAGUUCUUUCAGGUUCGGUCAAUCAGCCCGUCCAAAGUUUCGCGGGGCAUAUUCGGGUCAUGGUCAUCAUGGAUCUCAGCGGGGCCAGUCAUCACUCAGUGCCCUACCAGCCCAGAGNNNNNNNNNNNNNNNNNNNNNNNNNNNNNNNNNNNNNNNNNNNNNNNNNNNNNNNNNNNNNNNNNNNNNNNNNNNNNNNNNNNNNNNNNNNNNNNNNNNNNNNNNNNNNNNNNNNNNNNNNNNNNNNNNNNNNNNNNNNNNNNNNNNNNNNNNNNNNNNNNNNNNNNNNNNNNNNNNNNNNNNNNNNNNNNNNNNNNNNNNNNNNNNNNNNNNNNNNNNNNNNNNNNNNNNNNNNNNNNNNNNNNNNNNNNNNNNNNNNNNNNNNNNNNNNNNNNNNNNNNNNNNNNNNNNNNNNNNNNNNNNNNNNNNNNNNNNNNNNNNNNNNNNNNNNNNNNNNNNNNNNNNNNNNNNNNNNNNNNNNNNNNNNNNNNNNNNNNNNNNNNNNNNNNNNNNNNNNNNNNNNNNNNNNNNNNNNNNNNNNNNNNNNNNNNNNNNNNNNNNNNNNNNNNNNNNNNNNNNNNNNNNNNNNNNNNNNNNNNNNNNNNNNNNNNNNNNNNNNNNNNNNNNNNNNNNNNNNNNNNNNNNNNNNNNNNNNNNNNNNNNNNNNNNNNNNNNNNNNNNNNNNNNNNNNNNNNNNNNNNNNNNNNNNNNNNNNNNNNNNNNNNAUUUGGGUAUGCCCCGUGAGUUUCUUGCUUUACCUGUUCAUGUAUCUACCCUAAUGGGCGAUACUGUUGUUGUAGACCGUGUGUACCGGUCAUGUGUGGUCACUAUUGGGGGUCUGAAGACCCAAGUGGAUCUAUUGCUAUUGAGCAUGGUGGAUUUUGAUGUCAUUUUGGGCAUGGAUUGACUAUCUCCAUGUCGUGCUAUUCUAGACUAUCAUGCUAAGAUAGUCACUUUGGCUAUGCCGGGUGUGCCGCAGAUCGAGUGGUGUAGUGUGAAUGAUUAUGUUCCUAGUAAAGGGAUCUCUAUCUUGAAGGCCCAGCGUAUAGUUGGGAAGGGUUUCCUUUCAUAUGUAGCGUUUGUGAGGGAUGUUGGAGCUAAGACUCCCAGUAUUGAUUCUGUCCUAGUUGUGAAGGAUUUUCCCGAUGUGUUUCCUGCAGACCUGCCGGGCAUGCCACCGGACAGGGAUAUUGAUUUUGGUAUUGACCUGGUGCCGGGCACUCAGCCCAUUUCUAUUCUGCAAUACCGUAUGGCACCAACGGAGUUGAAGGAGUUGAAAGAACAACUUCAGGAACUCCUAGAUAAGGGGUUUAUUCGGCCUAGUGUGUCACCUUAGGGUGUGCCCGUUCUGUUUGUGAAGAAGAAGGAUGACACAAUGAGAAUGUGUAUCGAUUAUAGGCAAUUCAACAAUGUAACAAUUAAGAAUAAGUAUCCUUUGCCUCGCAUUGAUGAUUUAUUUGAUCAGCUUCAGGGAGCGAGAGUGUUAUCCAAGAUUGAUCUCCGUUCGGUCUAUCACCAGUUGAAGAUCAGGGGUUCAGAUAUUCUUAAAACCGCUUUCAGGACCAGAUAUGGUCAUUAUGAGUUCCUUGUGAUGUCUUUCGGGCUAACCAAUGCCCCAACAACGUUUAUGCAUUUGAUGAACAACAUGUUCCGGCCUUAUCUUGAUUCAUUCAUGAUAGUAUUCAUUGAUGAUAUUCUAGUGUACUCGCGUAUUCAGGAGGACCAGGGAGCAUUUGAGAGUUGUAUUGCAGAGAUUGAGGGAGGAUAAGCUUUAUGCAAAAUUCUCCAAGUGUGAAUUUUGGCUCUGUUUAGUGGCUUUCUUGGGGCACGUGGUGUCCAGCGAGGGUAUUCAGGUUGAUCCAAAGAAGAUAGAAGCGGUUCAGAGUUGGCCCAGACCGUCUUCAGCCACAGAGAUUCGUAGCUUUGGUUUGGCAGGCUAGUAUCGCUGGUUUGUUUAGAGAGUCUCAUAUAUCGCAUCACCCUUGACCAAGUUGACUCAGAAGGGUGUUUUAUUUGUAUGGUCGGAUGAGUAUGAGGAGAGCUUUCAGAAGCUCAAGACAGCUUUGACCACAGCUCUAGUAUUGGUUUUGCCAUUAGCUUCAGGUUCAUAUACCGUGUAUUGUGAUACUUCGAGAGUUGGGAUUGGUUGUGUAUUGAUGCAGGAGGGUAGAGUUAUUACUUAUGCUUCUCGUCAGUUGAAUCCCCAUGAGAAGAACUACCCCAUUCACGAUUUGGAGUUGGCUGCUAUAGUUCAUGCAUUAAAGAUUUGGAGGCACUACUUGUAUAGAGUAUCUUGUGAGGUAUUCACUGAUCAUCGCAGUCUUCACUAUUUGUUCAAGCAAAAAGAUCUAAAUUUGAGGUAGCAAAGAUGGUUAGAGUUGAUUAAUAAUUAUGAUAUCACCAUAUUGUACCAUCCGGGAAAGGCCAAUGUAGUGGCCGAUGCUUUUAGCCGAAAGGCAGUGAGUAUGGGGAGUUUGGCAUAUAUUCCAAUUGGGGAGAGACCCCUUGCAGUUGAUGUUCGGUCCUUGGCCAAUCGGUUGUGAGAUUAUAUAUUUUAGAGCCCAACCGGGUGUUGGCUUGCGUGGUUUCUCGGUCUUCCUUAUUUGAUCGUAUCAGAAAGCGCUAGUAUGAUGAUCCGCAUCCUUAAUGAUAGAGUGCAACAUGAUGAUGCUAGAGACGUGACCAUUGGUGAUGAUAAUGUGUUGAGUAUGUAGGGACAGAUUUGUGUACCCAAUGUGGAUGGGCUUCGAGAGUUGAUUCUUGAGGAGGCCCAUAGGUUGCGGUAUUCUAUUCAUCCAGAUGCCGUGAAGAUGUACCAGGAUUUGAGGUAGCACUAUUGGUGGAGAAGAAUGAAGAAAGAUAUUGUGGGAUUUGUAGCUUGGUGUCUCAAUUGUCACUUGCUUCAGCAGAUAGUUAUUCUAGAGUGGAAGUGGAGCAUAUCACCAUGGACUUUGUAGUUUCACUCCUACGGACUUUGAAGAAGUUCGAUGCUAUUUGGGUGAUUUUGGAUCGGCUGACCAAGUCCGUACACUUCAUUCCUGUGUAUAUACCUAUUCUUCAGAGCGAUUAGCAAAGAUUUAUAUCUGAGAGAUUGUUUGCUUGCAUGGUGUCCCAGUUUCCAUCAUUUCAGAUAGGGGUACUCAAUUUACUUCGCAGUUUUGGAGAGUCAUGCAGUGAGAGUUGGGUACUCAGGUUGAGUUGAGCACAGGUUUUCACCCUCAGACGGACGGGCAGUCCAAGCGCACUAUUCAGAUAUUGGAGGACAUGUUAUGCACUUGUGUCAUUAAUUUUAGAGGAUCAUGGGAUCAGUUUCUACUGCUCACAAAGUUUGCUUAUAACAACAGUUAUCAGUCGAGUAUUCAGAUGGCUCCAUAUGAGGCUUUAUACGGGAGACGGUGUAGAUCUCUAGUCGGUUGGUUUGAGCCAGGUGAGGCUAGGCUUUUGGGUACAGACUUGGUGCAGGAUGCUUUAGAUAAGGUAAAGGUGAUUCAGGAGCAACUUCGUACAGCGCAGUUGAGACAAAAGAGUUAUGCUGACAAGAAGGUCUGUGAUGUGUCUUACAUGGUUAGGGAGAAAGUUCUAUUGAAAGUUUCACCCAUGAAGGGUGUUAUGAUAUUUGGGAAGAAGGGUAAAUUGAGUCAUCGAUUCAUUGGGCCUUUUGAGGUGCUUUGGAGGAUUGGGUGAGGUGGCUUAUGAGCUUGCAUUGCCACCCAGUUUGUCGAGUGUGCAUCCGGUAUUUCAUGUUUCUAUGCUCCGAAAGUAUAUUGGCGAUCCAUCUCAUGUUUUGGAUUUUAGCACGGUUCAGUUGGACGGUGAUUUGACUUAUGAUGUGGAGCCAGUGGCUAUUUUGGAGCGUUGGGUUCGAAAGUUGAGAUCAAAGGAUAUAGCUUUAGUGAAAUUGCAGUGGAGAGGUCAGCCCAUUGAGGAGGCUACCUGGGAGACCGAGUGGGAGAUGAGGAGCAGAUAUCCUCACCUAUUUGAGGCUUCAAGUAUGUUUCUUGACCCGUUCUUUUUCAAACAUUUGUUUAAGAGGGGGAAGAGUAAUGACCUACCCGGUCAUUUCAUGAGUUACCACUCUGUUAACCCUAUUUUUGCUUCUUUAUGUUUUGUUCAGCUGUAUUAUGUGGUAUCGGGUUGGUUGGUUCGGGUUCGGAGUGAUUUUGUAGAAGAAUGAGAUACUUAGUCUCUUUUGAGUAAGCUUAAGUUAAAAAAGUCAACAGGAUGUUGACUUAUAGGUAGAAGGUCUCGGAUGUGAAUUCUGAUGGUUUGGAUAGAUUAUUAGGUGAUUUGGGACUUAGGAGCGUGAUCAAAAUGUGUUUUGGAAGUCCAUGGAAGAUUUAGGCUUGAAUUGGAAAAAUUGGAAAUUUGGCAUUUUCCGGUCAGUAGUGGAAAUUUUGAUAUCGGGGUCAGAAUAGAAUUCCAAAAAUUGGAGUAGGUCCGUUGUGUAAUUUGGGACAUGUGAGCAAAAUUUCAGGUCAUUUGGACGAGGUUUGAUAGACUUUUUGAUCGAUUGAGGGAUUCAGAAGUUUUGGAAUCAUUAGGCUUGAAUCCCAGGGUGAUUUGAUGUUUUGAUGAUGUUUUGAGUGUUCCAAAGAUUGGAACAAGUUUGAAUGAUGUUAUGGGAUGUGUUGUCAUGUUUGGUUGAGGUUCUGAGGGCCUCGGGUGAGUUUCGGGUGGUUAACGGACCAAUCCUUGGUUUUGGAGAGUUGCAAAUUUUGCUGGUUUUUGUUGCAGAAGAAUUUGUUCUUCGCAUUCGCGAAGAUUGUCCCGCGUUCGCGAAGAAGAGCUGGGUCUAGGGGAGAAAAUUCUCUUCCUGUUCGUGAGUCAGGGGAUGCGUUUGCGUAGGUUUGGAUUCCAGUGAAUCACGAAAGCGUGAGAGGAGUCGUGUUCGCGUAGGGUAAAUUGGAGCAGCUGGGACCCCAGGAGUUUGUGCAUCGCGUUUGCGUAGGUAGGGUCACGUUCACGAUGGCUUGGGCAGCUGAAGCUUCGCGUUCGCGUGAAAGAAGUCGCGUUCGCAAAAAAGCAAUAAUUGGCAGUGAUUUUUGUGCUUCGCGAACGCGAGGCUUUGACCGCAUUCGUGAAGAAGGAAGCGUCUGGGCAGAAUCUUUAAGAUCAAAAACGAGGAUUUAGUUCAUAUUUUCAAAAACUCAUUAGAGAGCUUGGGAGAAGGUGACGUUAGAGAGGAUUUUCAAAGGAGUGAUUGGGGUAAGUGUUCUUCACUUGUUUUGGGCGAAAUUCCAUAAUUAUGUCUUGUCUUAUCAUUUAAUUUGAGAAUUUGGGGUAAAAAUUGGGAAAUAUGGAAGAAAAAUUGGAGAAUGGAUUUUUGGGAUUUGGAUGAGCUUUUGACAUUGGAUUGAUGAAUUUGAUAUGGGUAGACUAGUGAGCUAAUGGGUUUUCCAAUUUUGUGAUUUUUAUUAGAUUUUGAGAUGUGGGCCUGGGGGUUGGGUUUGGCUAAUUUCGGUAUUUUUGAGUUAAAUUGACAAUUUUCAUAUGGGUUUCAUUCCUUUAGCGUAUAUUGAUGAUAAUAUACUUAUUUUGGUUAGAUUCAGGGCAUUUGGACGCCGAAUCGAGAGGCAAGGGCGUCGCGGGCUUGGGGUAAGUAACUUUUACAAACUUGGUUUUGAGGGUUCAAAACCCCGAACUAUGUGUUCUAUGAUUGUUAUUGAGGUGACGCAAAUGCCAAAUGACUGUCGUGUGGGCAUGCACUGUGAGAAUUGCGGCCUGGAUUAUUCCGUGACACCUCUUAGUAACUCUUUCUUGUUGAUAUCCGUGUUUCUAUCCUGUGACUAAGGAAAUGUGCUGUGAAAACAUGCUAGAUAUCAUGUUAGGUCUUCACGCCGAUACUGUUGAGACCCGAGAGGUCGUUUCUUGUUGUCAUAUCAUUAUCUUCAUUGAUAUUCUGUACUCAGACCUAUUCAUGCAUUAUAUAUCAUGCCUCAGUCUCGAUUAUUGUUAUUUGGCACAUCAUAUCAUUGUUCGGGCUAGUAUUAUGACAUUGUGACCUCGUGUGUGUGAGACUGGAGAGUGAUGACUGAGUGAGGCCGAGAGUCCGGUUGUGAGUGGCAGUAUAUGGGAUCGGGUUGCACGCCGCAGCGGUUAUGUUGAUUAUUAUGGCAGCACUUGGGUUGUAUGAGCCUCUCCGGAGUCUGUAACACACCCCCCAGUGAGCGCAGUUGAUGAUAUUGAGGGAUGGAUCUUCCCUGGAUAUGGAUCUUGUCGAAGUGUUUAUACCUGGAGAUGGAUCUUUUCCACAGGGCUGGAAUAGCCUUCCUCGGUACUGGAUGAAUGUGGUCAGUGAUAUAUAUAUUCUGGGAUGGAUUUUCCCCUGGGCCGGAUGGCCAUAUAUAGUACCGAGGGGUUGAGCACUUGUUAGUGGAGGUACACGAAACAUUGAUCAUGCUAUCUGUGCAUUGGUACAUAGAGAUUUCAUGAGCUUUAUACUCCGUACUGUUUAGGCUGCAUUUAUUUACUAUUGAGUUUUUACUUGAACUAUAAGCAUGUCUACUUUUCUGUACAGUUUAAUGAGAUUAUCUGUUGAGGUUUGGUUCGUCACAACCUGUCAGUCCAUAGUUUGGACUUGUUAUUUACUGAGUUGGUGUACUCACAUUACCUCCUGCACCUUGUGUGCAGAUCCAGGUAUCUCUGGUCACGGUAGCGGUUGCUGAUCAUUUCAGUGGUGGACUUUUUCCUAAGA